CUAAUUAAUAAAAUCCAUUAAUUAUCAUUUUUUCAUUACCAAUCACCAUUAAUCCAGAAAAAUCGUCGGUUUUAAACUGUGAUGGAGAAAUUAAUUUCUGUUAUGCUAUGUACAUGAUUUCUUUCUCCAUUCAUAAGAAGCAACUAUCCUGGGAGUUUCUGCUCGUCCUUCUGCAAGCUCCUUGGUUACAAAGUUUUCUUGGUGUACAUUGUGUUCAACUGAUUGGAUGUCAAAAGCAAUAUCCCAAAGAAGCAUGGGAUGACCUCCAGAAAUUUCUCUCAUCUUCUACUGGUCGAGCUGCCAUAAACGCUACACAGUGCAGGUUUGAAGCAGCUACAGUUAUUAAGAAAUUGUGCCUAAAGGAGUUUGCUUUACACAUGGUUAUUAGCAUGAAGAAAUGGCUUAUACAACCUCAAUCCGGAUGGCAACCAAUUAAGAUUACUCUUGCAGAGAUUGUCGCCGAUUCAGGGGUGGUUGCUGCAACAUAAAAUCUGCAAGAUCUGAUUAUGACUGAGUUUGGUAGUAAUUUUAUUAUGUUCAGAGCGCUUGUCGCAAGUUCUUGACAUAUUGAAAAUUUAAAAAGCUCAAGAAAGUUGCAAUUUCCAUUCAAUGUGCUUGAAGAGCUAAAGUUGCUCAUAAGGAACUGAAGAAGCUUAAGAUGAAAAUUCUCAUUUCCUAUCUUUUUAUCAUCUCUGUUGGACAAAAUUUCAUUCUCUGAAACUGUCCUAUUUUGGUAAUAUAUGCUGCCUCAAUUUGAUUUCAUACUUGAAGAUUUGAAUCUCUCUACCUCUAUGACUCAAGAGGCGGGUUUGUCAGUGGGCUUAUUUAUUAGUCUCUCUAAAGCAGUGAGUAAUGUUGGAGUCACGUCACUAUCUUCAAUUAGUUUCUGAUACUACUAGCUAUCUUCCAUUGAGCCUCCCCAACUUUUUUUUAUAUAAAUUCGUUAGAAGAAGAGAGUCAGUUUCUCCCCCAAACAGGUCUCAGAUCAUUAUUCAAGCAACCUCAAGCCAAAUAGCAUAGCAGCAGCUUCAUCAUAGUUGCUGGAACCUGGUCUUAAUGGUAUAGAUUUUCCCUGUACAAUCUCUUACCAUUCCGCCUCCCCCACAAUUUCCAUUAAUACAACUUCCAUCACUGUUGAGUUGUAAUCUAAUUCACUUGAUGAUGGUGGUUUUUGUUUGAUCACAUGCCUGGCAGAUUGUGCUCCAAGUGUCUCCGAUACUAGCACUUACAAAUAUCUUCUUCAAUACCCGCAAAAGAUUGAAUAAUACAUCAGAAGAGGAUCGGUAUAAUGAAGAAUUUCCCAGCAGCAUUUGGCAAUAGAUUUUUGAAGAGGGAGCAACCAUGUACUUGUGGCUGGCUACUCUUCGAGUUGGUAGUGCUAGCUGGCAGAUUGUUGUUCGUUGUUUUUAUAGAUUCCAACUCCGGAAAGGGCUACGCAAAUUUAUAGCCGAUAAUGCUUUGUGUGAACCCCACUGAUUGCACAUCCUCCUUGCAGAACAGCAGCAAAUCAUCUGCAAAACUAACAAAGAUAAUACUGGAGCUUAGCAUACUGGAGCUCCUUUAAGAUCCCAUUCAAGUACUCGUGGCUAUAACAAAGAGAUAGGGCGACACAGGGUUGCCCCGUCUCAAUCACUUCUUUGCAUGAAAAAGGUUCGGUUGGGGAAUCCCAUUAAUCUGAACUGAGUAAGUCACAGAGGUUAUACAAGCCAUGAUCCAUUUGAUGAACAAGUGAUCUUGAAUUAAAAAUAUGUCAAAUGUAUCAAAACAUUUGUCAAUUUUGUGCUAUUAAGCAUGCCAUGUAGAAUGUUGAAAUUACAGAGUUGCAAAAAAGGAAAAGAUCAUUUUUUAGAAAUGGACUUUUAAAAAAAAAAAAGUAUGAACCUAAAA